rnacentral:lncRNA from 1 species
UGCCUCUCAAGUGCUGGGACUAAAAGCUUGUGCCACCAUGCUUCUGGGAACCAUUAGGGUCUAGUUGUUAGCAGAGCAGAAGUCUGUGGAAAUAGUUUAGUAGCACUUACUCCUGUGCACAAAGAAUAGCGUUUAGCUUCCCACCAUGAUGCUAAUAAGUUAAUUCAUAAAAUCGUACAGUUAGACUCAUGGCCGAGGCCAGCUUGAGCAAGGUAGUCAGUUUAUAUAAAAAUUAUUUAAACUAUGCAGCAGCAUCCUUCAAAAAUCACAUAGAAGUUCAUUAGCCUAAAACUCAGCUUCACAGCUGUGCAUGUGAGAACUGCAGCAUCGUCUGAGAAAGUCAUUCUGCAGUUGUCAGCUGUGCAGAGAAGAAAGCAUUUCCUUGAACGGAAAGGGACUGCGUUAUUUCAGGUCUCAUAUUCCACUGAGGCCUUGGUCACUGCCAUGUGUUCUUGGGAGGUUAAUUUUAUGCUCGAGCCAAGAAUCCUUUAAGUCUUGCUUUUGGUUCCCUGGAUUUUAAAAUAGGUUAAAUAAAAAAUAAUAUACUUUAAAAGCUAUUUUUAGUCAGUGUUUAAAAUUUCAGGCUUAAAAGGAAGUGUGCUUUAUAUUGAUCAAAAUGUUACCAAACAAAUCCUGUUAUUGAACCUGAUAAGUAUCAUGGGAUUUAUUCAUUUAGCUGUUGUUAGAAUACCUCAGUUGGUUUGGUCAGAACUUAAAUGUCUUUCCAGCACAUCAUGGUUGAAGUAAGCCAGGCACUGGUGGUGCACACUCCUUAAUCUCAGCACUGAGGAGGCAGAGGCAGGCAGAUCUCUGAGUUCAAGGCCAGCCUUUUCUACAGAGUGAGUUCCAGGAUAGCCAGGACUAUACAGAGAAACCCUGUCUCAAAAAACAAAUAAUAACAACAAAAACAAAAGAAAAACCACUCAGAUUUUGGUUACAUUGUGUGUGUUUAGUUUUGAUGUGCCUCCUGUUAGCCCAUAAAGUCCUGUUGGAGCAGUGUUCUGGAGGCAGCCGCAGGAGGAAAGUCUGAGGCUAUACAGGGAGACUAUCCUUCAAAUAUAAGCAAGAGUAAAAAUUGUUGCUGAAACUCAUUCUUAUGCUGUGGAGAGCAAUGUAGUUAUGUUCAUUCAUUGUAACAAUUUCUAUUUGACUUCUCUAAAUGAAAAAAAAAAAAAGUCCGAAUGAGACCAUUUUUUUGUAAAUGUUAAAAUGAAGGCUCUGCUAUCCCCAGGUUCUUGGAAGCCAGCUCGUACAGUACAUAAAGACAAUUUCCUAAAGUCCUUGGAAGGGAUGCUGGGGAUUGAUGAGAUGUUUGCAGUUGUUCCGGUCACAGUUAUCACUUAACUCCACACGCUGACAUGGAUAGAAGCCCUCAGAGAUGUUCAGAUUCCCUCUUGUCUCUGAGUUCAUUUCCCAGGCUAAUGCUGGUCUUGUAGUUGAUUCUCUUGUGUCGAUCUGACUGAUUGAUCAGCACCAAGCUUCUAGGUGAUGCCAAGGUCAUGAUUUUUUCACAUUUCUGGGGCUCAACAAAAGAAGAAAACCUUAGUAGAAAGCUAAGUAGAAAAGCUAAAAGCUUUUUUGUUACUGGUUGGUUGGUUUGUUCUUUAAGCUGCUUCCUGCCUGUCCUGUAAUUCUCUGAACUCAGAGAUUAGCCUGCCUCUGCCUCCAGAGUGCUGGGACAAAAGGUGUAUACUACCACACGAAGUAGCAGCCGCCGCUGCUGCUGCUGCUGCUGCUUCUCCUUCUCCUCCUUCUCCUCCUCCUCCUUCUCCUUCUACUACUACUACUACUUCUUCUACUACUACUAAUUUCUUCUUCUUUCUUUCUUCUCUGCUGCUGCUGCUACUCCUUUUCCUUCUCCUCUUUCUCCUCCUCUUCUUCUUCCUCCUCCUCCUUCCUUAUCAUCAUUAUUGAAAUGGUCUCACUGUGUAGUCUUGGGUGCCCUGAACUCGUGUGCACAUGUGGCUUCAGACUGACUUGUGAGUGCUGGGAUUAAUGGCAUUUACCACCACACCUGGCAAUAACAAAUCUUACACUGAUUUGCCUAGAUCUAGUUUUGAGAUUUUAAACUAUGGUAAAGGUUGAGGACUUGGUUGCACAGGCCCUGGUUUGCCACCUAGCAACAGAAAACACUGGUAAAAGACUGCAAAUGUCAUUAGUGCUUGGAGUCCCAAGGAAAUGGUAAGAAAAUGAAGUGGAUCAAGAAGUUAAUUUAAGAGGUUGUUCGAAAAUCAAGCCAUGGAGGUCAGGUCACUUUAUGCUAGCUUAGAGGUCAGAAAACAGCUUCAGGAGUUACUGAAGGUAAAAACACUCGAGACUCAGAAAGGGAAUGUUGACUGAUAACAAUAUCAGUUGAGUUGGUUUGAGAUUUGUCUCUGACCCUGAAGUGGCAGGGUAGGGUUAUGUAGAAGCACUCAGAUGACAGGUAAGUCAACAGUAUGUGUGGCCAGUGCAGCCUCACGCUUCCUAGGGACUGACACGGCUGGGGUGUGAGAGCCCCGAUCAUCCUGCCUCUGAUGAUUACAGGCACGUGCCACACUAGACGGUUUGUUCAGCUUAAGCAUUAGGUUGGAAAUAGACAUAAAGUGAAGUAAGUGAUGAAUUUUAUAUUGUGUUGUACCCUAAUUUGAAUUUAAAGUAGGCAGUAGGUAGGGUUAAUUGGUAGACUAUCAUGUACAGCCCUUUGGGUUUAUCCCAACACCAAAAAAAAAAAAAAAGAAAAAAGAAGAAAAAGAAAAUCAGAGUAUCACAUUUUGAUCUGUGAGAAACUCAGUUUGGGGCUGGGAAUGUAGCUCAGUGGUAGAGAGCUUGUCUAAGGUACACAAGCUUGGGCUGGAAUAAGAAACCCAAGGAAAAUGUCGGGCAUGGUGGUGCACGCCUUUAAAAUCCCAGCACUUGGGAGGCAGAGGCACGAGGACCUCUGAGUUCGAGGCCAGCCUGGUCUACAGAGUGAGUUCCAGGACAGCCAGGGCUACACAGAGAAACCCUGUCUCGAAAAACUAAAAAAAAAAAAAAAAAAAAGAAAAGAAAAGAAAAAAAAAAAACUCAAGGAAAAACAGCAGGAUAAAAAGGAAACUAUUUUUAAUCUAGGCAGGCUUAUAUUUGAUAUGAUAAAGAAAGCUUUUUUCGAAACCUUGUGUGUAUAGAUGUUUGUGUGUGUGUGUGAUUGAGUGCCUGAGAUGUUUGUAAGCCACCUUGUUAGUGGCUGAGAAUCAAACUCUGGUCCUUUGGAAGAGCAGCCAGUGCCCUUAACUGCUGAGCCACUUCUCUAGCCUGGAAAGGUCCUCUUUCUAAGUGACUUUAAACAUUUAAAAAUGUCCUUUGUACUUUAUUUUUAAAAAUCUGAAUUUGUUUAUUUCUGAAUUCUAUCUAGUAAGUGCUAUAUAAGAUUUUUAAAGUCCUAGUUUAUCGUUGUCCUACUGUCUUCAAGCUCAGUCUUUUCUGCAUUUUCACGGAUGUGAUAAAAGGCUGGCUAAAGGGCUUUAUGUAGUACCCCUGGUUAUGUGUGAAUGUGAAACAGAGCUGAGCCUGCCUGGGCCGACUUCUAGUCUCAGCACCAGGGAGGCAGAGGCAGAGCAGAAGGGUCACUACAAGUUCAGGGCCACGUUGGUCUACACAGUGAGUUCUAGGCCAACCAGGAGUACAUAGAGAUGUUAUCUCAAGGAAACAAAACAAUAAUAAAAUAGAAUUAAAUAAAAGCCAAAAAGGUUGAGCCCUGAAUUAGUAUGAAACUACUUAUUUAUACAUUCUUUUAAACAUUCUAAGCCAGGCAUGCUGCAAAUGCCUACAAUCCAACACUCAGGAGAACAGAGUCGUAGACCAAAGUUCAUACACAGUUGAAGGCUGGCUGAUUUACACAGUAAGACUAAGGAAAAACUUUUCAGCCAGGGUUGGUGGUAUAAACCUUUAAUCCCAGCAUUCAUUUGUAGGACAGCCAGGGCUACACAGAGAAACGUGGGGGUGGGGGUGGGGGUGGGGCUGCAGAAAAACUAUUUUCUCUAAUGUAGAAAGAAUAGUAAGUGAAAAACUUAAAAGCAAUGGUUUUAGAUUAGUCUGGGUAUUUUUGUUUUUGCUAUUCUAUUUCAUGAAUAUCUGUGUUAAACAGAAUGAUAACAGAAGUGGCUGGGCUCCUAGCUUAGCUGUCAGCAGGGCUGCUCACCUAGCUAGCUACCUUAGCUAGCACUGUAAGAUUGAGACAUUAAGCAAGAGCUGAAACCUUGUAUUUGACAUGCUGCACUUUCAGGUUACCUUGAGUUUCUGUGUCUGUGUCGCUCUGUGUGUGUGUGUGUGUGUGUGUUUAACUGAACUAUAUCCCAGCCCUUGGAUUAGGCCUUACUCUGGAGUCCAUGAGUGGUCUUGAACUCAAGUAUUCUCUGGCCUAUGCCUCUUGGAUAGCACUAGGGUUAUCAAUGUAUAUCACCACACUGGCCCCACAAGGCUGCUUUGGGUUAGGGUAGAAUACAUGGCUGCUAGAGUUAGACAGUAUGCAUGAUAUGAAAUAUGACAUUAAUAAAACAUCCAAGCCAGAUAGUGGUGGGUGGCACGUCUUUGAUUCCAAUACUCAGGAGACAGAAGCAGGUGGAUCUCUUGAGUUUAAGACCAGCCUGGUCUACAGAGUUGAAUUUUAGGACAACCAGAGCUACACAAAGAAACUCUGGGAAAAACAUAGAUAAAUCCAAUCUUUUUAAAAGUCAUCUCUGUCCUAUAUACCCCACAGGGUCUUAGAGCUGGUUAGUAAUGUACUUGCUUGCCUACCAUGUGUGAAUGUGAACCCUGUCAGAACUUGAGUACCUUAUAAAUUGGGCAUCAUAAUGCCUUUUUAUAGUUCUGGGGAGGCUGAGACAGAAGGAUCAGAAGUUUAGGGUUAUCCUCAAAGACUUGGGAGAAUUUGAGGCUAACCUGUAACCCAUGAGCCUUCUUAGUACUGGGAUUAUAGGGAGGUGACUUCUCAUCUCCAGAGUUAUUGCUGAUCUUUUAGAAACAGCAUUUGUAUUACAAUGGGACUUUCUCUCUUCCCCUGUGUGUGUGUGUACAGCUAAUUUACUACUGAUAAUUUUUCAAAGUAAAGCUAAACAUGGUGAUACAAAUCUUAGUAUUACCACACAAGAGGAUAAAACAAGAGGGUCACAGAUUCUAAGCCAGCCUUGGGUUUUAUGGUGAUACCAUGGUGACUCACGCCUUCAAUCUCAGCAUUUGGGAGGCAGAAGCAGGUGGACUUCCCAGAAUUCAAGGCCAGCCUGGUUUAUAUAGUGAGUUAUAGGCCAGCCAUGGCUACAAAGUAAGACCCUGUCUAAAAACAAAAAAAGAUACUCUGGUAUGAAGUUAGACACAACCUAUAAGGCCUCCGGCUGCACUCUUUAGUUUGAGGCUAGCCUGAACUUCAUGAUGAUAUCUUGUCUUAAAUCACCAAGAUGGAACUAAGUAAUAGAGCACCCACUAACUUAAGUGCUCUGGUUUCAAUGGCAGUAUCCCUUUUUGAAGUCUUACCUUUGCCCAGGACACUGCAGCAGCCCCAGCCCCUUGCUCCUACGUCUCUAUCCAUGGGGAAGAUGGGAUCGCUCGCUCUUUUGGAAAAUAACCUCACUUUGACAAGUCUAUUCCUGACAGUGAUUUCUCAGAGACCAAAAGCAAGAAUAAAGGGAAGAAAGAGGUUGGUAUCAGAUAACUUAAACUAACAAAAUGAACAUUGAAGGACAUAGUGUGGAAGAAGGAGCCCUGCCAGGAAACACAUUGGAGCAAGUGUGUUUUAUUCUGGUAGCAGAAAGGACACAAUGGCACUGGGACCCUUCAAUCCAAGGACAGCAUCUCUAGAGGAGACCUUUGCUGUCCUUAGGCUGCAGAUAGGAUACAGUUCAAGAACAGUGUUUUAUUAGUGGCGUUUGGUCAUUGGAAAGGACCCGGAAGUGUUGAGUGGUAAGUGCUUGCCUAGGAUGUGGGGGGCAUAGGUUCAGUUCCCGGCAACACACACACACAGAUGAUCAAGUGUAGGAAGGGGAAAUGCUCAGAAUGUUCUCUGGCCUUACUUUUAUUCUCAUAUAAUGAACAUCUUACAACUUACAUGACCUUCAUUAUUACUUUUAAAGAUGCAUUUCAUGUGCUAAGACUUCUGAGAUUGCCAUUUUCCCCGGGGCCAGGUUAGAAGACAUUGCCUUUUGACACCAGCAGCCAUUCUGUCUUCGUUCUAACAAGGACUAGCGUCUUGAGUUUGCUUUUGUUCUUGACUUGGCCAUGUGUUAGAUCUGAAUCAAAAGAACUAAGAAGUGUGGGGCAAAAUAUGUCUGGUUCUGGUAUGUUUGUAGACAGAUCAUUGGGUCUGUCUCAGUCAGGGACCUGAGUGUUGUGUUAGAACAGUAGUGUUGUCAACAGGGACAACAGAAGGCGCCAUAGAGCAGGCCUUUGAUCCUCCCGAGGAAGAGUCAAUUAGUUCUCUGAGCUCAAGGCUAGCCAGGGCAACACAGUGAAAUUCUGUCUCAGAAAAUAAAAAAUAGUGUUGCUUAUAUUUGAAAUUAGUAUUUUAAAGAGCCACACAAAACUUUGAAGUUAGAUUAUUGUAGCUAAUGACAAACAUGGCUGCUAUCUGAAAGUAUAACUGCAUUGCUGCAAUGCUGCAUGACUCCUAAUUACACAGUUAACUAAGAAGGCAGGAAUGACGAGCCCAGAGUGAUGUCACUCAUGAGAGGUUAGAGGCACUUUUUUGGGGAUAGUUGAUAUCCUUGGAAUGUCUUAUUUCAAGGACCUCUACUUUUUCUUAGGUUUAUAAACUAGGUAUGAAAAGAACGAAAAAUGAUCCGGUUAUCCAGGUUAUCAAGAUGUUUGUCUUUAACGAGGCACACACUGUAUCUGUCAUGGAGCCCCUGUGAACUGUAGGCUUCAUGAGAUGCCAGUGGAACUGAGUAGAUGUUAGAGAAAUUGGUCAGAGUAGAAACACCCAGAAGUACAGUGUUAACACUUGACAGUGCCAGUGAAAGUGACCCUCCACUCCCAGUGCUGGACUGAAGGGAAUUAAAGUGCAACCUGUGGGCUGGGGAGUGGAGCUCGGCUGUGAGUGCUCACCUGCAUGAACCUCUGCGUUUGACCCUUGGCACCUCAUAAACUGGGCAGAGUGGCACUUGCCUGUAAUCCCAGUUCUUAGAAAAUAGAGGCAGGAGAUUGAGAAGUUCACAGUGGUCCUCUGCUUCAUAUCAAGUUCAAAGCCACCCUGGGGGAUGCAAGACCCUGAAUCAAGGAAAAAUACUGUGGAAAUUGCUCUUGCCUGUUCUGACAACAAAAUUCACAAGCUAGGAUGCAUGAGAAGUCUGUCUGACUACUCCCUAAUGUCUGUUUCAACCUUGCAGCUAACUUGUUGUUUUUGCCUCCUUUCCAGAUACCGGUCGGUUGUAACACAGGCUCCCUGUCACACUGCUAAGCGCUGAGGGCUCUCUGAUUUGAAAGGAUCUUUCUGUGUACAUUGUGCCUUUGAUGGGAAUGUUCUGCUGAACCUGCAGACUAAAACUGAGCUCAGUGACACAGCCUUUUCUCACGCUCCUCCUUAAAUCUGAGCUGAGACAUGUGACAUGCGACUCACUUCCUCUGUAAAAUUGAG